GGAUUAAAUGCUUAUACUAAGAUUGAAAUGAUACAGAGAAGUUAGCAGGGUCCCUGCGCAAGGAUGACAGGCAAAUGCAUGGGGUAGUCCACAUUUUU
rnacentral:snRNA from 1 species